GACGAACGCUGGCGGCGUGCUUAACACAUGCAAGUCGAACGGAAAGGCCCUGCUUUUGUGGGGUGCUCGAGUGGCGAACGGGUGAGUAACACGUGAGUAACCUGCCCUUGACUUUGGGAUAACUUCAGGAAACUGGGGCUAAUACCGGAUAGGAGCUCCUGCUGCAUGGUGGGGGUUGGAAAGUUUCGGCGGUUGGGGAUGGACUCGCGGCUUAUCAGCUUGUUGGUGGGGUAGUGGCUUACCAAGGCUUUGACGGGUAGCCGGCCUGAGAGGGUGACCGGCCACAUUGGGACUGAGAUACGGCCCAGACUCCUACGGGAGGCAGCAGUGGGGAAUAUUGCACAAUGGGCGGAAGCCUGAUGCAGCAACGCCGCGUGCGGGAUGACGGCCUUCGGGUUGUAAACAGCUUUCGACUGUGACGAAGCGUGAGUGACGGUAAUGGGUAAAGAAGCAACGGCUAACUACGUG
rnacentral:rRNA from 1 species